rnacentral:tRNA from 1 species
GACGAGGUGGCCGAGUGGUUAAGGCGUUGGACUGCUAAUCCAAUGUGCUCUGCACGCGUGGGUUCGAACCCUAUCCUCGUCG